CAGGGCCUAACACAUGCAAGUCGAACGAGACCUUCGGGUCUAGUGGCGCACGGGUGCGUAACGCGUGGGAAUCUGCCCCUUGGUUCGGAAUAACAGUUAGAAAUGACUGCUAAUACCGGAUAACGACGUAAGUCCAAAGAUUUAUCGCCGAGGGAUGAGCCCGCGUAGGAUUAGCUAGUUGGUGUGGUAAAGGCGCACCAAGGCGACGAUCCUUAGCUGGUCUGAGAGGAUGAUCAGCCACACUGGGACUGAGACACGGCCCAGACUCCUACGGGAGGCAGCAGUGGGGAAUAUUGGACAAUGGGCGAAAGCCUGAUCCAGCAAUGCCGCGUGAGUGAUGAAGGCCUUAGGGUUGUAAAGCUCUUUUACCCGGGAUGAUAAUGACAGUACCGGGAGAAUAAGCUCCGGCUAACUCCGUGCCAGCAGCCGCGGUAAU
rnacentral:rRNA from 1 species